AUACGGAGGGUGCGAGCGUUGUUCGGAAUUAUUGGGCGUAAAGAGCAUGUAGGCGGUCUGUUAAGUCUGGUGUGAAAGCCCGGGGCUCAACCCCGGAAGUGCAUUGGAUACUGGCAGACUUGAGUAUGGGAGAGGAAAGCGGAAUUCCGAGUGUAGGAGUGAAAUACGUAGAUAUUCGGAGGAACACCAGUGGCGAAGGCGGCUUUCUGGACCAAUACUGACGCUGAGAUGCGAAAGCGUGGGGAGCAAACAGGAUUAGAAACCCCGGUAGUCC
rnacentral:rRNA from 1 species